rnacentral:rRNA from 4 species
AUACUUGACCUCAAAUCAGGUAGGACUACCCGCUGAACUUAAGCAUAUCAAUAAGCGGAGGAAAAGAAACUAACAAGGAUUCCCCUAGUAACUGCGAGUGAAGCGGGAAAAGCUCAAAUUUAAAAUCUGGCGGUCUCUGGCCGUCCGAGUUGUAAUCUAGAGAAGUAAUGCCCGUGCUGGACCGUGUAUAAGUCUCCUGGGAUGGGGCGUCAUAGAGGGUGAGAAUCCCGUCUUUGACACGGACUACCAGUGCAUUGUGGUAUGCUCUCAAAGAGUCGAGUUGUUUGGGAAUGCAGCUCAAAAUGGGUGGUAAAUUCCAUCUAAAGCUAAAUAUUGGCGAGAGACCGAUAGCGAACAAGUACCGUGAGGGAAAGAUGAAAAGAACUUUGGAAAGAGAGUUAAACAGUACGUGAAAUUGCUGAAAGGGAAACGCUUGAAGUCAGUCGCGUUGGCCAGGGAUCAGCCUUGCUUUUGCAUGGUGUACUUUCUGGUUGACGGGUCAGCAUCAAUUUUGACCGCUGGAAAAGGGCCUGGGGAAUGUGGCAGCUUCGGCUGUGUUAUAGCCUCUGGUCGCAUACAGUGGUUGGGAUUGAGGAACUCAGCACGCCGCAAGGCCGGGUUUCGACCACGUUCGUGCUUAGGAUGCUGGCAUAAUGGC